GGUUUAUGGCUCAGUGGUAGAGCAUUCACCUAGCACACGUGGGGCACUGGGUUCGAUCCUCAGCACCA
rnacentral:tRNA from 1 species